rnacentral:rRNA from 1 species
UACGUAGGGGGCGAGCGUUGUCCGGAUUUAUUGGGCGUAAAGAGCUCGUAGGCGGUUUGGCAAGUCGGGUGUGAAAACUCCGGGCUCAACUCGGAGACGCCACUCGAUACUGCCAUGACUCGAGUCCGGUAGGGGAGUGCGGAAUUCCUGGUGUAGCGGUGAAAUGCGUAGAGAUCGGGAGGAAGGCCGGUGGCGAAGGCGGCGCUCUGGAACAUUUCUGACGCUGAGGCUCGAAAGCGUGGGGAGCAAACAGG